rnacentral:rRNA from 1 species
CCAGCAGCCGCGGUAAUUCCGGCUCCAAUAGCGUAUAUUAAAGUUGUUGCAGUUAAAAAGCUCGUAGUCGGAUGUCGGGCUCGGGGAGGCUGUCGGCCUUUGGUCGGAUGGCAUGUCCGGGCCUUUCUGCCUGGGGAUCCUACUCUACUUAACUGUAGGGUAGUGGGACGCAGGCCGUUUACUUUGAAAAAAUUAGAGUGUUCAAAGCAGGCCUACGCUCUGAAUACAUUAGCAUGGAAUAACACGAUAGGACUCUGGCCUAUCUUGUUGGUCUGUAGGACCGGAGUAAUGAUUAAGAGGGACAGUCGGGGGCAUUCGUAUUUCAUUGUCAGAGGUGAAAUUCUUGGAUUUAUGAAAGACGAACUACUGCGAAAGCAUUUGCCAAGGAUGUUUUCAUUAAUCAAGAACGAAAGU